UACGAAGGGGGCGAGCGUUGUUCGGAAUUAUUGGGCGUAAAGGGUGCGUAGGCGGUUUGGUAAGUCUCGUGUGAAAUCUCCGGGCUCAACUCGGAGCCUGCACGAGAAACUGCCGGGCUUGAGUGUGGGAGAGGUGAGUGGAAUUCCGAGUGUAGAGGUGAAAUUCGUAGAUAUUCGGAAGAACACCAGUGGCGAAGGCGGCUCACUGGACCGUUGUUGACGCUGAGGUGCGAAAGCGUGGGGAGCAAACAGG
rnacentral:rRNA from 1 species